rnacentral:rRNA from 1 species
GAUGAACGCUGGCGGCGUGCCUAAUACAUGCAAGUAGAACGCUGAAGGAAGGAGCUUGCUCCUUCCGGAUGAGUUGCGAACGGGUGAGUAACGCGUAGGUAACCUGCCUGGUAGCGGGGGAUAACUAUUGGAAACGAUAGCUAAUACCGCAUAACAGUAGAUGUUGCAUGAUAUCUACUUAAAAGGUGCAAUUGCACCACUACCAGAUGGACCUGCGUUGUAUUAGCUAGUUGGUGAGGUAACGGCUCACCAAGGCGACGAUACAUAGCCGACCUGAGAGGGUGAUCGGCCACACUGGGACUGGGACACGGCCCAGACUCCUACGGGAGGCAGCAGUAGGGAAUCUUCGGCAAUGGACGGAAGUCUGACCGAGCAACGCCGCGUGAGUGAAGAAGGUUUUCGGAUCGUAAAGCUCUGUUGUAAGAGAAGAACGAGUGUGAGAGUGGAAAGUUCACACUGUGACGGUAUCUUACCAGAAAGGGACGGCUAACUACGUG